rnacentral:rRNA from 1 species
UACAGAGGUCUCAAGCGUUGUUCGGAAUUACUGGGCGUAAAGAGCUCGUAGGUGGUUUGUCGCGUUGUCCGUGAAAACUCACAACUCAAUUGUGGGCGUGCGGGCGAUACGGGCAGACUGGAGUACUGCAGGGGAGACUGGAAUUCCUGGUGUAGCGGUGGAAUGCGCAGAUAUCAGGAGGAACACCAGUGGCGAAGGCGGCUCACUGGUCCGGUAACUGACGCUGAGGCACGAAGGCCAGGGGAGCAAACGGG